GACGAACGCUGGCGGCGUGCCUAAUACAUGCAAGUCGAGCGAACAGAUGAGGAGCUUGCUCCUCUGAAGUUAGCGGCGGACGGGUGAGUAACACGUGGGUAACCUGCCCUAAAGUGGGGGAUAACAUUUGGAAACAGAUGCUAAUACCGCAUAAACCUCAAAAGCACAUGCUUUUGAGUUGAAAGAUGGCGUAAGCUAUCGCUUUUGGAUGGACCCGCGGCGUAUUAGCUAGUUGGUGAGGUAAAGGCUCACCAAGGCUGUGAUACGUAGCCGACCUGAGAGGGUAAUCGGCCACAUUGGGACUGAGACACGGCCCAAACUCCUACGGGAGGCAGCAGUAGGGAAUCUUCCACAAUGGACGAAAGUCUGAUGGAGCAACGCCGCGUGAGUGAAGAAGGUUUUCGGAUCGUAAAACUCUGUUGUUGGAGAAGAACGUACGUGAGAGUAACUGUUCACGUAGUGACGGUAUCCAACCAGAAAGCCACGGCUAACUACGUGCCAGCCGCCGCAGUAAGAC
rnacentral:rRNA from 1 species